UACGUAGGCAGCAAGCGUUGUUCGGAAUUACUGGGCGUAAAGAGUGUGUAGGUGGUGUUCUAAGUCUGUCGUGAAAUCUCCCGGCUUAACUGGGAGGUGCGGCGGAAACUGGAAUGCUCGAGUAUGGGAGAGGUAAGCGGAAUUCCUGGUGUAGCGGUGAAAUGCGCAGAUAUCAGGAGGAACACCGGUGGCGAAGGCGGGUCUCUGGGCUGGCACUGACACUGGAGGAGCGAAAGCGUGGGGAGCGAACAGG
rnacentral:rRNA from 1 species